CCAAAAGAGGUGGAAAUGCGUCAUUGAAUCCAGCUCACCCAGGGUUGGGAAUGAAGAAGUGAAGACAGUGCUACCCUGAUCAACCGAGGGAAGAAGGAGGGUUCAGGAGGCCAAACCCUGCCCGUGGAGUUCCCCGGAACUCAUGAGGAAGAGCAGGCUAGAGAUCCCAUCAGAUCUGGAGCUGCUGGCCUACGCCACAGCCACAGCAACACCAGAUCCAAGCCGGUUCUGCGACCUACACCACAGCUCACAGCAACGCUGGAUCCUUAACCCACUGAGCGAGGCCAGGGACCGACCCCUCGUCCUCAGGGAAUGCUAGUCAGGUUCAUUACCGCUGAGCCAUGACGGGACCUCCUGCAUUUAGAUUUUUAGCGAACAUCUACUUCGCGCCUCACCUCAAGUCAGUUGCUGGGGAGAAGCAGAAAGGAGGCGUGGGCUGGGCUAGUGCGCAGGUGGACUCAGCCCACCCCUAGUGAGGCUCCCUGCCUGGACUUCUGGGAGAGGCUUGAAUGAGCCUUGAAGGAGAUACCUGACUAUCAAAGGAGGGGGCGAAACAGCAUCCCGAGCCAAGGAAAUGACAUUGUGAAAGCCUCCAAGAUGUUUGGGGUUCAUGACUCCUUGGCACAGUUAAGGCCUGGGGUCCACGGGACAGUCGGGGGAGAGAUGAAGUGAUGAGGCCGAAACCAGAGCAGCGGCUGACUGCACCUCAGGAGUCUGCGGGGGAAGGACUUUGUGGACGUGGCGAUUAUCUCAACUGUUUGUGGGGCAAUCACAGGAGCAUCUGGGGAGAAAACUGGCCCCAGAAGGAAAAGGGCUGCAGGCGGGAAGACCAGAAAGGAUGCUGUUCAGAUGGCCCAGGUGAAAGCCAGUGAGGGCCUAGACUGAGCAGACGUGGUGGGAUGGAGGGGCCCCAGGAGACAGCUCUGGAUUUGGCAGUUGCGGGGGAGGAGCUAGAACAUUGUGCUUUUACAAGAGUGGGUUAUUUAUCCAAAAACAAACAAAACAAAACAACAGCAACAACAGGGCAUUGCCGCAAGCUGUGGUGUAGGCUGCAGAUGUGGCUCGGAUCCAGCGUGGCUGUGGCUGUGCCGUAAGCCAGCAGCUGCAGCUCCGAUUCGAGCCCAGGAACUUCCAUAUGCCUCAGGUGG
rnacentral:lncRNA from 1 species